rnacentral:ncRNA from 1 species
GGUGCGAAGCUACCAUCUGAGGGAUUAUGACUGAACGCCUCUAAGUCAGAAUCCCGCCUGGAAAGCGACGAUGCAUUCGUGCCUCGGCCUCGAGAGGCGUAGCUAGACGGCCGUGUGGCCGUGGAAAGAGCCCGAUUCCGACCCGAGAGGCCGCGGCAAGAGGCGGCCUCGAAGUCGGUGGAUCCUCCUGCUCGAAAGGCGGGGUGCUAAACCAUUCGCAGACGACCUAGUUGAAGAUCGGGGUGUCGUGAUCACUAGAGCAGUACAUCUCACUGCGAUUUGUUGAGAGUAAGCCUCAAGAUCUGUCGGUUUGU